UAAGCGACUAAGCGUACACGGUGGAUGCCCUGGCAGUCAGAGGCGAUGAAGGACGUGCUAAUCUGCGAUAAGCGUCGGUAAGGUGAUAUGAACCGUUAUAACCGGCGAUUUCCGAAUGGGGAAACCCAGUGUGAUUCGUCACACUAUCAUUAACUGAAUCCAUAGGUUAAUGAGGCGAACCGGGGGAACUGAAACAUCUAAGUACCCCGAGGAAAAGAAAUCAACCGAGAUUCCCCCAGUAGCGGCGAGCGAACGGGGAGCAGCCCAGAGCCUGAAUCAGUGUGUGUGUUAGUGGAAGCGUCUGGAAAGGCGCGCGAUACAGGGUGACAGCCCCGUACACAAAAAUGCACAUACUGUGAGCUCGAUGAGUAGGGCGGGACACGUGGUAUCCUGUCUGAAUAUGGGGGGACCAUCCUCCAAGGCUAAAUACUCCUGACUGACCGAUAGUGAACCAGUACCGUGAGGGAAAGGCGAAAAGAACCCCGGCGAGGGGAGUGAAAAAGAACCUGAAACCGUGUACGUACAAGCAGUGGGAGCACAGAGCAAUCUGUGUGACUGCGUACCUUUUGUAUAAUGGGUCAGCGACUUAUAUUCUGUAGCAAGGUUAACCGAAUAGGGGAGCCGAAGGGAAACCGAGUCUUAACUGGGCGUUAAGUUGCAGGGUAUAGACCCGAAACCCGGUGAUCUAGCCAUGGGCAGGUUGAAGGUUGGGUAACACUAACUGGAGGACCGAACCGACUAAUGUUGAAAAAUUAGCGGAUGACUUGUGGCUGGGGGUGAAAGGCCAAUCAAACCGGGAGAUAGCUGGUUCUCCCGAAAGCUAUUUAGGUAGCGCCUCGUGAAUUCAUCUCCGGGGGUAGAGCACUGUUUCGGCAAGGGGGUCAUCCCGACUUACCAACCCGAUGCAAACUGCGAAUACCGGAGAAUGUUAUCACGGGAGACACACGGCGGGUGCUAACGUCCGUCGUGAAGAGGGAAACAACCCAGACCGCCAGCUAAGGUCCCAAAGUCAUGGUUAAGUGGGAAACGAUGUGGGAAGGCCCAGACAGCCAGGAUGUUGGCUUAGAAGCAGCCAUCAUUUAAAGAAAGCGUAAUAGCUCACUGGUCGAGUCGGCCUGCGCGGAAGAUGUAACGGGGCUAAACCAUGCACCGAAGCUGCGGCAGCGACGCUUAUGCGUUGUUGGGUAGGGGAGCGUUCUGUAAGCCUGCGAAGGUGUGCUGUGAGGCAUGCUGGAGGUAUCAGAAGUGCGAAUGCUGACAUAAGUAACGAUAAAGCGGGUGAAAAGCCCGCUCGCCGGAAGACCAAGGGUUCCUGUCCAACGUUAAUCGGGGCAGGGUGAGUCGACCCCUAAGGCGAGGCCGAAAGGCGUAGUCGAUGGGAAACAGGUUAAUAUUCCUGUACUUGGUGUUACUGCGAAGGGGGGACGGAGAAGGCUAUGUUGGCCGGGCGACGGUUGUCCCGGUUUAAGCGUGUAGGCUGGUUUUCCAGGCAAAUCCGGAAAAUCAAGGCUGAGGCGUGAUGACGAGGCACUACGGUGCUGAAGCAACAAAUGCCCUGCUUCCAGGAAAAGCCUCUAAGCAUCAGGUAACAUCAAAUCGUACCCCAAACCGACACAGGUGGUCAGGUAGAGAAUACCAAGGCGCUUGAGAGAACUCGGGUGAAGGAACUAGGCAAAAUGGUGCCGUAACUUCGGGAGAAGGCACGCUGAUAUGUAGGUGAAGUCCCUCGCGGAUGGAGCUGAAAUCAGUCGAAGAUACCAGCUGGCUGCAACUGUUUAUUAAAAACACAGCACUGUGCAAACACGAAAGUGGACGUAUACGGUGUGACGCCUGCCCGGUGCCGGAAGGUUAAUUGAUGGGGUUAGCGCAAGCGAAGCUCUUGAUCGAAGCCCCGGUAAACGGCGGCCGUAACUAUAACGGUCCUAAGGUAGCGAAAUUCCUUGUCGGGUAAGUUCCGACCUGCACGAAUGGCGUAAUGAUGGCCAGGCUGUCUCCACCCGAGACUCAGUGAAAUUGAACUCGCUGUGAAGAUGCAGUGUACCCGCGGCAAGACGGAAAGACCCCGUGAACCUUUACUAUAGCUUGACACUGAACAUUGAGCCUUGAUGUGUAGGAUAGGUGGGAGGCUUUGAAGUGUGGACGCCAGUCUGCAUGGAGCCGACCUUGAAAUACCACCCUUUAAUGUUUGAUGUUCUAACGUGGACCCGUAAUCCGGGUUGCGGACAGUGUCUGGUGGGUAGUUUGACUGGGGCGGUCUCCUCCUAAAGAGUAACGGAGGAGCACGAAGGUUGGCUAAUCCUGGUCGGACAUCAGGAGGUUAGUGCAAUGGCAUAAGCCAGCUUGACUGCGAGCGUGACGGCGCGAGCAGGUGCGAAAGCAGGUCAUAGUGAUCCGGUGGUUCUGAAUGGAAGGGCCAUCGCUCAACGGAUAAAAGGUACUCCGGGGAUAACAGGCUGAUACCGCCCAAGAGUUCAUAUCGACGGCGGUGUUUGGCACCUCGAUGUCGGCUCAUCACAUCCUGGGGCUGAAGUAGGUCCCAAGGGUAUGGCUGUUCGCCAUUUAAAGUGGUACGCGAGCUGGGUUUAGAACGUCGUGAGACAGUUCGGUCCCUAUCUGCCGUGGGCGCUGGAGAAUUGAGGGGGGCUGCUCCUAGUACGAGAGGACCGGAGUGGACGCAUCACUGGUGUUCGGGUUGUCAUGCCAAUGGCACUGCCCGGUAGCUAAAUGCGGAAGAGAUAAGUGCUGAAAGCAUCUAAGCACGAAACUUGCCCCGAGAUGAGUUCUCCCUGACUCCUUGAGAGUCCUGAAGGAACGUUGAAGACGACGACGUUGAUAGGCCGGGUGUGUAAGCGCAGCGAUGCGUUGAGCUAACCGGUACUAAUGAACCGUGAGGCUUAACCU
rnacentral:rRNA from 1 species